rnacentral:tRNA from 1 species
GGACUUAUAGCUCAGCGGUAGAGCAAUUGACUGCAGAUCAAUAGGUCCCUGGUUCAAUUCCGGGUGGGUCCU